rnacentral:rRNA from 1 species
AUUGAACGCUGGCGGAAUGCUUUACACAUGCAAGUCGAACGGUAGAGGGGGCAACCCCUCGAGAGUGGCGAACGGGUGAGUAAUAUAUCGGAACGUGCCCAGUCGUGGGGGAUAACGUAGCGAAAGUUACGCUAAUACCGCAUACGAUCUAAGGAUGAAAGCGGGGGAUCGCAAGACCUCGCGCGAUUGGAGCGGCCGAUACCAGAUUAGGUAGUUGGUGGGGUAAAGGCUCACCAAGCCAACGAUCUGUAGCUGGUCUGAGAGGACGACCAGCCACACUGGAACUGAGACACGGUCCAGACUCCUACGGGAGGCAGCAGGGGGGAAUUUUGGACAAUGGACGCAAGUCUGAUCCAGCCAUUCCGCGUGCAGGAUGAAGGCCCUCGGGUUGUAAACUGCUUUUGUACGGAACGAAAAGGUCUCUCUUAAUACGGGGGACUCAUGACGGUACCGUAAGAAUAAGCACCGGCUAACUACGUGCCAGCCGCCGCCGUAA